CAAGCGUUCUAACACUUGUCCAAAAAAUGUUGUUCUCCAAGAACUCAGCCAUCUCUCAGCCACAUAAUUUUGGUCCUCCAAAAUGCCAUGGAAACCACAUCACCACCUCCACGGGCCACCUCACCACCUCCCACUUCAAAAUACAUUAAAACACACCAACAAAUCUCCACUUUCAACAAUAUCAACACGCACAAGUAGUACUUUAAAUAGCUAAGGAUUCUCCAACAUAUGCAUGCACAAGUAGUACAACGAUCUCCUUGAAAUCAUAUAUUUCAUUUGCAUUUGCUUUUCAAGCUCUCCUUAAGUACGAGCUACCUUGGUUGUUUCCAGUUUUCCAUUUCCAAAAAUGGCUCCAUUCAAGUCACUAGCUCUUGUUGCUUUGCUUGUUGGUAUCUCUUUGUCAGCUAUUAAUGCAUCAGAAGGCCGAGUUGCUAGGAAGGAUUUAGGUGUGGAUCUUGGAGGAAUUGGGGUUGGAGGAGGAGUAGGCCUGGGUAUAGGACUUGGAGGAAGCGGAAGUGGGUCCGGGGCAGGGUCGGGAUCCGGGUCCGGGGGAAGUAGUUCUUCUUCGAGUUCAGCCUCAUCGAGUGCUAGUUCGAGUUCAGGGUCAGGCGAUGCAGGCUCCGAGGCAGGGUCAUCUGCAGGGUCUCGGGCCUCGUCAGGGUCAGGGAGAGGUGCUCGAGGCAGUGGUGGCGGGCGAGGUGGGGGUUCGGGGUAUGGACGUGGGGAGGGUUCGGGCCGGGGCAGUGGCGAGGGUAACGGUGAGGGUCAUGGGGAAGGCCGUGGCUAUGGUGAGGGUUAUGGCAGUGGAGGCGGAAACUAAGAGGAUGCAAUUACGUACCAAUGCAUGGAGCAAAAGUAGUGAUAAUAAAGUACAUAAAUAAAGAAGAUGGUGAAUUUGAGUAGCAUUCAGAUCUGAUAUUUAGCCUUGAAUCAUCAUCUUUGUAAUUGGUUCAUUUCAUAUUAUAUAUUUAAAUGGUGUUCCUGUUCAUGUAUCCCACUUUAGUUUUCUUCAGCUUGUAGACUAGCUAGAUCAUGAAACUGCUGCCUAAACAUAUAUAUUCUGGGUGCAAUGUUAUUAUCAAUCAUAUGUAUUGUUGUUACCUUGAUGAGAUGGUAAAAUACUAACUGUUCCUUAUGCCAAGUAUCUU
rnacentral:lncRNA from 1 species